rnacentral:rRNA from 1 species
UACCAGCUCUCCGAGUGGUGUGGAUGUUUAUUGGGCCUAAAGCAUCCGUAGCUGGCUGGACAAGUCCCCUGUUAAACCCACCGAUUUAAUCGUUGGUGUGCGGGGGAUACUGUUCGGCUAGGGGACGGGAGAGGCCGACGGUAUUUCCGGGGUAGGGGUGAAAUCCUAUAAUCCCGGGAAGACCACCAGUGGCGAAGGCUGUCGGCUAGAACGCGCCCGACGGUGAGGGAUGAAAGCUGGGGGAGCGAACCGGAUUAGAUACCCGGGUAGUCCCAGCUGUAAACGAUGCAGGCUAGGUGUUUGGGCGGCCACGUGCCGCUCUAGUGCCGCAAGGAAGCUGUUAAGCCUGCCGCCUGGGGAGUACGGCCGCAAGGCUGAAACUUAAAGGAAUUGGCGGGGGAGCACCACAAGGGGUGAAGCUUGCGGUUU